rnacentral:rRNA from 1 species
UACGUAGGGGGGCAAGCGUUGUCCGGAAUCAUUGGGCGUAAAGCGCACGUAGGCGGAUCGUUAAGUCAGGGGUGAAAUCCUGGAGCUCAACUCCAGAACUGCCUUCGAUACUGAGAGUCUCGAGUCCGGGAGAGGUGAGUGGAACUGCGAGUGUAGAGGUGAAAUUCGUAGAUAUUCGCAAGAACACCAGUGGCGAAGGCGGCUCACUGGCCCGGUACUGACGCUGAGGUGCGAAAGCGUGGGGAGCAAACAGG